GGCCGCGGCAGCUCCUCUGCAGAGACGGGGUGAGAGUCCGGGGCCGCGUGAGCGUCUUCCGCUCGCUCGCUCGCUCUGUUUCUCCUUCUCCUCUGUCUCUCGCUUUCUCUGUGCCUCUCUCUCUCUUUCUGCCUCUCUUUCUCUCUGCCUGUCUCUCUCUCUGUCUGCCUCUCUCUCUGCCUCCCUCUCUCUCUGCCUCCCUCUCUCUGCCUCCCUCUCUCUCUGCCUCCCUCUCUCUCUGCCUCCCUCUCUCUCUGCCUCCCUCUCUCUCUGCCUCCCUCUCUCUCUGCCUCCCUCUCUCUCUGCCUGCCUCUCUCUCUGCCUGCCUCUCUCUCUGCCUCCCUCUCUCUGCCUCCCUCUCUCUCUGCCUCCCUCUCUCUCUGCCUCCCUCUCUCUCUGCCUCCCUCUCUCUCUGCCUCCCUCUCUCUCUGCCUGCCUCUCUCUCUGCCUCCCUCUCUCUCUGCCUCCCUCUCUCUCUGCCUCCCUCUCUCUCUGCCUCCCUUUCUCCUUCUGCCUCUUUCUCUCUCUCUCCCCCCGCACUGUACCUCUCUCUCUCUCUGCUCCCCUGUCUCUCUCUCUCCCCCUAGUGUCUCUGUAUCUGUCUUUUCUUGUGUCUGUGAAUCUGUUUGCCCGCCUCGCUCUGUCUCUCUUUCCCUAUAUCUCUCUGUCCCUCCCCCAACUCCCUUGUUCCAC
rnacentral:lncRNA from 1 species